rnacentral:rRNA from 1 species
AGAGUUUGAUCAUGGCUCAGGAUGAACGCUGGCGGCGUGCUUAACACAUGCAAGUCGAACGAGGUAAAUAGAGGAAGGUCUUCGGACCGGAAUCUAUCUACCGAGUGGCGGACGGGUGAGUAACGCGUGGGUAACCUGCCUCAUACAGGGGGAUAACAGUUAGAAAUAGCUGCUAAUACCGCAUAAGCGCACAGUAUCAC